rnacentral:lncRNA from 1 species
AGAACGUGAGCCCUGGCGCACCGCUGCCCUUCCUCCUGACACGCAGAGCAAAGAAUCCUGUGCUUGGGUCUUGGUUUCAGAAAAGCUGCCUGCCUUCGUGCAACGUCACAGCUGUAGUUCGUCUCCAGGACAAGAGACUUAAGACUGGAUGAAUUUGGUGCCAGAGAGAGAAGACUGAAGCAUGAACAGCAUCGACAGUUAUUUCUCGCCCAUGUCAAUAAAGUCAGGAGCUCAACAGGGUGGACCAGACGUAGGAAAGCUUCCUUCACUGUGAACCAGCAUUCUAUGGCUCCCUCAUUCCAGGCACGAAGUUUUACCUCAUGGUUCAAGAUAGCUAUGGAGCUCCAGCCAUCGGAGUCUGCCUUCUAGUCUAUGGAAAUACUCGUUUCUAGACAUCAGGUCAUGGCCAUAUGUAGCUAUGUGUCUUCAUGACCCGGCUCCCAUCACUAUGCGGCUCUGGUGGAGACUGCCAGUUCAUGCCCCCAAGUCCAAGGUCCUGGAAUCCUGGAGACACUGACUCUGCCUCUGCCCAAGGUUCAUAGCUCAGCUCAGCUCCACUUGAAGCUCGGCCAAAGGAACACUUGUUCUUACCAGUGGCUUUCACUGCAUCUCUACUCUGUGCCUCUGCCCUGGGCUCGGCACAUUCUCUUCCUUUGGCAAAAACUCCGAAGAAGUCUACCCACCUCACAAGGCUCAGCAGCAAAGCUUCCUCCUCCCGGAAGCUGCAUUUUGUUUUUCUUGGGGCGGGAUGGUAAGAACUUCUUUGUUCCCCACGAGGAGAAGGCAAGCUUCCCCAGAGCAGGCUGCACCGGCUUAUCCGCAGCAUCUGUAAUAGCACUGUUAGCGCCAGCCUCCUCGGGGGCUCAGAGAACAUCUGAAGAACAGAGUGCAGAGUGAAGCCAGGGCGCCAUAGGAAAAAACCAGAAACAAAUGUCAAACAGCCUUGAAUUGUGCAUGGCUCGUGGAUGAUCUGCUGGGUAUGCUGGAACUCAUAAAGUUGGCUAGGCUGUUUACAGCUUGUGGGAACAAGCAUUUGAGCUCCUUUUGAAUAUACAAAUGUAGGGUCUGCCAACAGGAGUCCCUCCUGGGCUUGUGUUUGGGGGAGAUGGGAAGCUGAGAGGUAUGGAGUUGGUACUGAUAAAGAUUGCUGUCUUCUCUCAGGACUUACUUUUUAAAUCUUGUUUUCCUUUUUGAAAGAACCAGGUUGGGAUUAUA